rnacentral:rRNA from 1 species
UACAGAGGGUGCGAGCGUUAAUCGGAAUUACUGGGCGUAAAGGGUGCGUAGGUGGUCCCUUAAGUUAGAUGCGAAAUCCCUGGGCUUAACCUGGGGAUGGCAUUUAAGACUGAGGGGCUAGAGUUUGGUAGAGGGAAGUGGAAUUUCCGGUGUAGCGGUGAAAUGCGUAGAUAUCGGAAGGAACAUCAGUGGCGAAGGCGACUUCCUGGACCGAUACUGACACUGAGGCACGAAAGCGUGGGGAGCGAACAGG